UACGUAGGGUGCGAGCGUUAAUCGGAAUUACUGGGCGUAAAGCGUGCGCAGGCGGAUUGUUAAGCAAGACGUGAAAUCCCCGGGCUUAACCUGGGAAUGGCGUUUUGAACUGGCAGUCUAGAGUGUGUCAGAGGGGGGUAGAAUUCCACGUGUAGCAGUGAAAUGCGUAGAGAUGUGGAGGAAUACCGAUGGCGAAGGCAGCCCCCUGGGAUAACACUGACGUUCAUGCUCGAAAGCGUGGGUAGCAAACAGG
rnacentral:rRNA from 1 species